rnacentral:lncRNA from 13 species
GAGUAACAGGCUGCAUUUACACUUUUUUUUCCACUAAUUAGUAUUUUGACCAAUCAGAUUAGCUCUGAAAAAGAACUGUUGUGAAAAGAUCUGAUGUGAUUGGUCAAAAAACUAAUUAGUGGGGGAAAAAAAAUCUGAAUUGGGAUGCCUGUGUAAACGCAGCCACAGAAACCCAUGGAAGAGAGUGUGUAUGAUGUGGACUGGGGAUCUAGCUAACUCCAGAGUAUCUCUCACUUGAUUGCAUUAAAAACAGAAUGGCCAAACCCAGACGACGCUGGGCCAAUUGUGCACCGUCCUAUGGGACUCCCAAUUACGCCGGAUGGGAUACACCCUGGAAUCGAAUCCAGGACUGUAGUGACACUUCUUGCACUGAGAGCCUUAGACCUCUGUGCCACUCGGCACACUCGCAACAUCCAGCAGCGGAACUGGGGCACCAGCGGGUGGUCAUCAAAAGGCAUCUGCCACCCAUUGGGAGAGAGAUUUCUAGGCAUUUAACAUUGUGACAUCAGAGGAAGAGAAGAAGGGCAGAAGCACUGAUGAGCAGAGGACCAUAUAAUUAACUUGGCUAAUUAACAAUGUUAUCUCCUCACGGUCGCAUGUACUGUACUGUACCAGGCAUAUAAUGUACCUCCCUAUUUUCAGGGCUGCAGAAUAGUUCUGAGGGCUUCUGAAGGGAUGACUCAGGGAUUUCCAAGGUCUUGCAGUAUCAUCUUCAGAUGGAAACGGAGGGUUUCUGCUCACUUUCAUGUCUGUUCUGUUGAAGCUGAUAGGGAUCAAUAACUUUGAUGUUGAACAACAAAGAGGAGAGGAGAGAGGUUGAUGACUUGACUUCUCCUUUGAAUGGAAAAUAUGUUUAUAUACUAUAGCUAAGGGAACUUUUCUGUCAGACUUUGAAAACCUUGCAAGGUCGGGUUUUAUUUGCUUUUGUCUAGAUUAAAAAUAUAUAUUUUUUAUUUGAUCUAUGUGAUGGGAGUGGGAGGGAAAAUGUAUUGACUCCAACCACUUCAGGAAUGCCUUCUAUUCAUUUCUAUAAUUUCUAUGGCCUAUUGGCCAAAGGAUGCUAAAACCUGACAUGGCAUAGAAAUACCAGCCAGUCCACAGUUUUAGUAACAAUAGGUGAUCAUUAGACCCUUGCGACUCUUCAGAACUGAGGUUGAAGAACAACUGUAAUGUUGUCUAUUUACUGUUUUUAUCCAUUAUCAAACUCAAGGAUUCUGUUGCCUUGAAUUAUUAAUAUUGAGUCAAGAUGAUGCAUAUUUCAUCUAAUUUAAUCAUGGCUUCUGUGUGACCUCUAAAGUAUACAAUAGGCACCAUUAAAAUGUGUUGACAACCCACAGUGAUUGGAUGUUUGCAUCCUGUAUUUUGUAACUGAAAAGACAUACAUCCCUUUAUCCAAUGCUCUCUGUGUUU